GCGGGAUUAGUUUAAUGGUAGAACGUCAGUUUUCCAAACUGAGAGCACCGGUCCGAUUCCGGUAUCCCGCA
rnacentral:tRNA from 1 species